CGUCCUCUGAUAACAGAGAGGUCAGGACACAGGAAAACGAGGAAGUUUUACUGCCAAGCAGAUCUGAACAUACUAACAAAGGAUACCUGAGAGAGAGCCUUCUCCCUUACCAACCUGCCCAGUCACUGAGGUCAUCUGAGGGCCUGCUCCUGGUGGUUCCACAUAGAUCCAUCCUCCAAUUGGAAUCCACCAGGGGAAGCUGGACAAGCAUCUGUCGGGGAUGCUUUAGGGUGGAUUCCUGCAUUGAGCAGGGGGUUGGACUCGAUGGCCUUGUAGACCCCUUCCAACUUUGCUAUUCUAUGAUUCUAAGAGCCUUCAGCGUGGUCGCCCCCCUCCUGUGGAACUCCCUGACUCUGGAGGUCAGGCAGGUUCCAACCUUGUACUCCUUUCAGCGCUUCCUGAAAACAUCUUUAUUCCAAGAAGCCUUUCCUUAAUAUGCAGCCUUGAAUCUCUGUUUUUGCUGCUUUAAAAUUUUGUUUUAACUGUUUUAUUCUGUUUUUAUUUUCAUUUCAUCUUGUACACCGCUCUGAAAUUUUUCAAUGGGGAGCGGUAUAUAAAUAUUCUAAAUAAAUAAACUAAGCAGCUUCA